GGGAGACAGGUGGUGCGAUGGUUGUCGUCAGCUCGUGUCGUGAGGAUGUUGGGUUAAGUCCCGCAACGAGCGCAACCCCUACGUUUAGUUGCUAACGCGUGAAGGCGAGCACUCUAGACGAACUGCCGUUGACAAAACGGAGGAAGGUGGGGAUGACGUCAAAUCAUCAUGCCCCUUAUGUUCUGGGCUACACACGUGCUACAAUGGCCGGUACAGACGGACGCAAAGCCGCGAGGUGGAGCAAAUCCUAAAAAGCCGGUCUCAGUUCGGAUUGCAGGCUGCAAUUCGCCUGCAUGAAGUCGGAAUCGCUAGUAAUCGCAGGUCAGCAUACUGCGGUGAAUACGUUCCCGGGCCUU
rnacentral:rRNA from 1 species